AGCAGAAGCACAGCCUUUUCUUUACUGGCUGAAGACCGUGCCAAAAACCCAGUAGGGUUAUCAGAGUGAAAGAAAGGGACACCUUGAUACAGGCAGUAGCUCUCUGGCCAGAGACUGCAAGUCUUCUGUUGAUCCAACUGGGAAGAACCAUGAGGGCGCCGGCUCAUGCUCUGCUCACGUUCCUGUGGUUGCAGCUGGACUGGGGCCGAGCAGAGCAGCUGGAGCAGCUUCCCCGCACCCUGCGAGUGCAGGAGGGAGACACCUCUGUCAUCAGCUGUACUUACUCGGACAGUGGCUCGUCCUACUUCCCUUGGUACAAACAAGAAGCUGGGAAGGGGCCCCAGCUCAUUAUUGACAUUCGUUCAAAUGCAGUGAGCGUGCAAAAGCGAAGACUGCUGGUUUCUUUCAGCAAGGCAGCUAAGCAGGUCUCCCUGCACAUCACAGACAUCCAGCUUGGAGACGCAGCCGUGUACUUCUGUGCAGCCAGUGCACACUGCUUGGCAGGCACCUGCAGUCUGUGCGAAAACCUGCCUCUGGGCUGGGCCCUCUGCUGGUCUUAGCACAGACUUUUCAGU